UGCGGAGGGUGCAAGCGUUAUCCGGAUUCACUGGGUUUAAAGGGUGCGUAGGUGGGUUGGUAAGUCAGUGGUGAAAUCUCCAGGCUUAACUUGGAAACUGCCAUUGAUACUAUCAAUCUUGAAUACCGUGGAGGUCAGCGGAAUAUGUCAUGUAGCGGUGAAAUGCUUAGAUAUGACAUAGAACACCAAUUGCGAAGGCAGCUUGCUACACAGUAAUUGACGCUGAGGCACGAAAGCGUGGGGAUCAAACAGG
rnacentral:rRNA from 1 species